rnacentral:rRNA from 1 species
AAUAAACGCUAGCGAUAGGCUUAACACAUGCAAGUCGAACGCAUACAGCAGUAUGAGUGGCAAACGGGUGAGUAACGCGUGAGAACCCUACCUUACAACCCGGUAUAAAUCUUGUUAUAGAGAAAUCCCGGAUACUUAUAAAACAAAGGCAAAGAACCGUUGUAAGAUGAGCUCGCGUAGGAUUAGGUAGUUGGUAAGGUAAAAGCUUAUCCAAGCCAAUGACCCCUAGCUGGUCUGAAAGGACGAUCAGCCACACCGGGACUGAGACACGGCCCGGACACCUACGGGUGGCAGCAGUGGGGAAUCUUGGGCAAUGGGCGAAAGCCUGACCCAGCCACAUCGCAUGAGUGAAGAAGGCUGAUUGGUCGUAAAACUCUGACUUUAGGCAAGAUUAUGACAUAACCUUUAGAAAUAGUCCCGGCCAACUCUGUGCCAGCAGCCGCCG